AGGAACAAGACGGGUAUUCUAGGCUGGAGGAGUGAAAAGACGGAGGUGGUGAACGGGUACGAAGCCAAGGUUUAUGGCGCUUCCAACGUAGAACUCAUCACCCGGACGCGGACCGAACACCUUUCGGAACAGCACAAAGGGAAAACUAAAGGUGGCAAAACCCCACUGCAGUCGUUCCUGGGCAUCGCCGAACAACACGUGGGUCCCAACAACGGGG